AUUGAACGCUGGCGGCAGGCCUAACACAUGCAAGUCGAGCGGAUGAAGGGAGCUUGCUCCUGGAUUCAGCGGCGGACGGGUGAGUAAUGCCUAGGAAUCUGCCUGGUAGUGGGGGAUAACGUCCGGAAACGGGCGCUAAUACCGCAUACGUCCUGAGGGAGAAAGUGGGGGAUCUUCGGACCUCACGCUAUCAGAUGAGCCUAGGUCGGAUUAGCUAGUUGGUGGGGUAAAGGCCUACCAAGGCGACGAUCCGUAACUGGUCUGAGAGGAUGAUCAGUCACACUGGAACUGAGACGCGGUCCAGGCUCCUACGGGAGGCAGCAGUGGGGAAUAUUGGACAAUGGGCGAAAGCCUGAUCCAGCCAUGCCGCGUGUGUGAAGAAGGUCUUCGGAUUGUAAAGCACUUUAAGUUGGGAGGAGGGGCAGUAAGUUAAUACCUUGCUGUUUUGACGUUACCAACAGAAUAAGCACCGGCUAACUUCGUG
rnacentral:rRNA from 1 species